CCCAGCCCUAGCCGCAACCCCAACCCCAUGGAGGUCGAGAUCAAGCUCCGUCUCCCCGACGCGGCUGCACACCGGCGCCUCUCCUCCUUCCUCGCGCCCCGCCUGCUCCGCACCGACGCCCCAGCGCGGCCCCUCGCCGCCGCCACCGCCGCCCAGCGGGACGUCCGCCUCUACGGCACCGACGACCGCGACCCCUCCCGCGCCGUCCUCACGCUCAAGCGCCGCCCGCGCAUCGACGCCAGCGUCAGCCGCGUUGAGGAGGUCGUGGAGCCCCUCGACCCCGCCCUCGCCCUCACCUGCGUCGACAACCCCGCCCGUCUCGACGCGGUCGACUCCCCCAUCGUCCGGCUCGUCUCCGACGAGUACGGCGUCGGCGGGGACAAAGCGCCGUUCGUCUGCCUCGGCGGCUUCCGGAACACCCGCUGUGUGUAUGAGCUCGAGGAGGGCGAGGGGCAGGGGCUCGUGCUAGACGGCAGCGGGCUGGGCCUACGUUGGCGGUGCCGGCAUUCCUCUCCUCCGACGAGCGGUAGCGGCGGCGGCACGGGACGCAGUGGGCCUGACCUGCGUCGGCGACAAUGGGGGCCCUCUCCUCCGUCGAGCGGCGGCGGCGGCGCGGGACGUAGUGGGCCCGGCCUGCAUCGGCGGUGGCGGCGGCGGGAUCCAUCUCCUCCCUCAAGCAGCGGCGGCUUGGGACACGGUGGGCUUGGCCGCAAAGAUGGAUUUCUCUGGGGCAUUCGAUUACUGGCCUCUGUUCCUCGACUCGCGCCAGGGACGCAUAUGCCCAUCCGGUCGUUCCUCCUCAUGGUCAGCGACGCAGAUGCGGCCGCUGUCAUUCCUCGCACAGCCGAAGGUACGGAACUCCUCUACGCGACGGUGAGACACACGAUGUAGCCUUCUGCGCUCGAGCACCAUGGCACCACGCCAUGUGAACGUCCCAGGGAGGCAUACUGGUAGGGGUUGCACCAUGUAGCGUGUGGAUGCCCACCAAAUGUUCGAUGUGUUCCCCUAAUUGAUCUCUCUAUAUAGCUAGCCCUCUGUAUUUCAGUCUCUCCCUGCUCUGCAUGCCUUGCGUCGUCCAUAUAUGAUCUUAUUUUGUUUCAGUUUUUUUGCUAGAUUUAACACUGUCAUUUGUUUAAAACUUUAAAUGUUAUCCAGGUUGAACCAUUGAAAGGGAGCACAUAAAGCUGCAGAGGCACAACUCCAAAGGAAACAGCACGGUGAUGUUUUUCUAUAUGUUCAGUGUGUCUAUAAACCAACAUGCUGACUGCUAAAGUUCUUGCGGGCGUGAUUGCUUUAAUUUUAGAAGGCACUGAUGUAACACAGGAAAUAGUUACUACUGAAGAAAUCAUUUUUGCAACACUCAAUCUUGAGUCUGCACUUGCUAACAGAGAUGCACCCAAAACAAUGUACUCCUGAUUGUUUGCUUGGUAACAUCCUCUCGUAGAAAACUUAAAUUAGAUUCUUUUUACUUCCUAAUCUUUACAUUUUGCAUUUUAAUUAUUAUCCUAUAUGCACAGGAUCUUAGACAAAUAUUGUUAAUGUCUACAUUGGAAAGGAUCCAAACUCUAAACAAGUGAUUGGUGAAUAAUUUUUUAUCUAGGUUCAGAAGUUGAUAAUCCGCUACAGUUCUUUCAUUUUGCAGGCAACCUCGGGUAUGAUGAAACGGCUUUCUUUUGCUUCCGCCGUCACAUUGCUGAAUACGACUUUGAAUCUCAGCUGCACUUGACUGCACCUUCUAUCUUGAUCCACUUGACAACUUAUAAUUUGCACGAGCAUUCCCCUGCAUAGUUUGUCCUUGGUCUGAAAGAACAAUUCCUGAUGAUAUAUUCCAAAUCAGGUUGUUGCCUGGAUCCUAUGAACAAUAUGUACAGUCACGCUGUCGUUAUCCGUUAACCAUCAUGUAAGUUUUCACUACAGUUUGUUUCGGUUCCAUUUCAGAAUCCCCAAAUCAUUCAAGAGUGCGCGACGCACAAGGCUGUAAUGUUUCCGCACUUGCAUCCAUAGAAGGGUGUUGGUAAAUUCUGUUUUCGAUGGAUUUUGAAGGGAACUUCUGUUUUUAUCGAGGAUGAGACAAUACUAAGAGACUAACAAGAACACAGUUAAUUACUGGAUCAUCCAUGUUUCCUAGCCGUGAAUAGAACCUGCUGUGGUAACUUUCUUGUGGCUCUUGAAAUAAUUCCAGUGAAACUGAAUCAUUCAGUCAUGCCUUCACUUAAGUAAACAAUGGCUCUGGGUACUGGGAUCUCUCAUCUUGGUUAUUUUUAUAUAUUGCAUUGCAAAACCAGAAGCUCAAGCUAGGCUAGGCUCACAGAAUAAUGAUGAUGAUUACUUAGCUAAAAUCCUAAAAUCUAGAACUCCCUACCCAUUUGCUCUAGCUGGCAGCAAGAAUAAUGAACAGAAAGCACCGUGCCCGGUUGCGUCGUGAAUAUGCCUAAUCAAGUUCCAUAUGGAUAGAAUUUCAUUGUGUUUGCCUUGUGAAAUGGAUGCAGAUGUGGUCAUUGAAGUUUGAUCUGGUCGCGGACAGAUGCGUCGAGCUGCAUAUUUAACCAGGUAUAUUUAAUCAUUUCACAGUUAUUUAACCAGUGCUAAUACAAAUAAAAAGAUGUGGCAACAUUUCAACCAGAUACUUCAUCGAUUUGUUUUCGACCAGAAGUGGGUUUGGAUUAAUAGUUGAUAUAUUGCUAUUAUUAGGAGCACUCAUAUUUCAGAAUUUUGGUUAAAUUGGUUGUGUAUUGUAUAGCUGAUAUUGAUAUGUUGCACAAUAUUCAAGCCCAUUGAUAUAUUGCAGCCAUAUAUUUCCUAUUUCUUGGUGAAUUGGGAUUGCAAUUGAUAUCCCAGUCGUAAGAGUUCGAGUGCGAGUCCAUCGUGAUAUGCACUUCCAUCCCUAUUUUCUGUUUUUUGGUGAGUAUAUAUUCUUGAUUUCAGUUUUUGUAAUGGUUAUUUAAGUGGAUAUGAUAAAUCGAUAAUUACGAAGAAUGGGAAUGCGAUGGGCAAGAAAAAUAUACGAGAAGAAUCAAGAAAAAUUCUGUAUUUGAAAUGGAACGGAACUAUACAUAUUGCAAUCCAGACAUACUAUGCAAUCAAACUGGUAGAAUCCAUGUGCCCUGUUGUGAUUUCAGUUACUUUCAAGUUUCAGCAUUUUUCUGGUGAUUUUGAUCUCUUGUCCAAUGUUUAUAUGUCUGCAAAGCUUCAGUAUAAGUGGCUAAUGACCAUAUCCAAGGUGGCAUUCAAUGAAUGACAACACCAGACCGGGAAGUUCAUGGCGCAUCUCUACGAUGCAUUUUUCUUCUUCUUUGGAAGCUUGUUUCAAGUUCGUUGUUUGAUUAGCUGAUUAUAAGAAACAGUUUAUGCCACCUGAAAUAUCAAAAUGCAUGCCGAUUCAUUCCUAUUUGAUAAAUUUAUAAUGGUUUGUAUGCUAAAUAUCAUUUUUAUGUGACAUAAUGAAUGGACAUGCUAACUGGUAAUUAUGGGAACGUCAUGCUAAUUUUUUUUCUAUGUGAUAUGAUGAAUGGACCUGGAGGUUGCCCCAUGGGCCCGUCGCCAUUGGUUGAGGUGAAGCAGGUGAAUAAGAAGGGGGUGGCAACGAAGGUGGCGGAGUGGCAGAUGGCAGAGGUGGAGAUCAGCAAUUAAUUCAAGAGGGAGGUGGUUGUCGUCAACGGCUCAGAGGCAGAGCAGCAACUCAAGCCCAAGACCAAGCAUAUUGUUACAAUUUACAGAAAAUGUGGGAUGCUUCAAAUGGGAAAUGUAUCAUGCUUAUGUGAGCCAAGUCAGCCAACAUUUCUGUUUAGAUCGGAACAUGGCGAAUUGGCAACCAAUGCAUCAUAUAUUUUGCCCAUUCACGAACCCGGUAAAUAUUUUGACAAUUUAAGACUACAAUACAUAUGUAUUUCACUAUAGUAAGCUACAGUUUUGUAUGAUGUUUCAUUUUCACCAAAAUUUACAUCAUUCCAAGAGGAGAUAAUUUGUAAUGACUUUCCAACAACUGAGAAACACACUAUUCCUACAAUCUGUACCACGCUAUUACUAAGAUAAAUUCUAUAUUGCGGUUUGGAGGGAGUGGUUAUAGGCGCAUUUGGCUGCCUCGACGAUGCAGACGACCAAGUCUAGGGCAUGCGCGCAACACCCUCUUGAACAUGGCCAACUGAUGGACGACAAUGGGGGUUGACACAUGACUAUGUAUGUGAACACUUGUUGUUCGUCUUCAUCCCCUCGCACUCGCCCAUGGAGCAGAGGGCGGCCGCCGGCGCCGGCACUCGUCCGGCCGACUUCGACCAUCCCCCGAGACGCUGCGGCCACCGGCGAGCUUGGGAGAGAGCGCCGCCUCCGUCCCGUCUGGACACAGAUGCCGAGGAGGGUAGAGGUGGCGGCGGCUUCGGUGACCGCGGAGGAGGCCGUCGGCCAUGGUGGUGGACAGCGAUUUGGUCGCUCCCGAGAUGAACUAGAGAGGGGAAGAGCUUCGCCGAGGUCUCAGGGAUCCAAUGUCCAUCCAUCCAUCUUGUUCCUUAUUUAACAUGAACAAAUGGAGGUGGGGUGGGGGUGUAGGGAGGGGGAACAGCAUGAAGAUGGGUGGCACUAUACAUUUUUCUAGCAGUAACAUUUGGCCAGCUUCUUAUGAUGUGUAUGAAUAGUUGAUUUGUUCAUUUUGAUUUAUAACCUUGUUGAUGUUCACCUCUACCAGAUUUCCAUAAUGGAACAUCGCCCGGUGUAUUUGAAGGUUGGCAGUUUAGAUGGGCCAACCAAUGAGUGAGCUUAUGUCAAAAUAAGCAUAACAUCUGUUUGAUUCUUCUAGGGGUCACAACAUGGUAAAAGAUGCCCAGGCACACAUCAUUUU